UGCGGAGGGAUCAUUACAGAGUUAUCCAACUCCCAAACCCAUGUGAACUUAUCUCUUUGUUGCCUCGGCGCAAGCUACCCGGGACCUCGCGCCCCGGGCGGCCCGCCGGCGGACAAACCAAAACUCUUGUUAUCUUAGUUGAUUAUCUGAGUGUCUUAUUUAAUAAGUCAAAACUUUCAACAACGGAUCUCUUGGUUCUGGCAUCGAUGAAGAACGCAGCGAAAUGCGAUAAGUAAUGUGAAUUGCAGAAUUCAGUGAAUCAUCGAAUCUUUGAACGCACAUUGCGCCCAUUAGUAUUCUAGUGGGCAUGCCUGUUCGAGCGUCAUUUCAACCCCUAAGCACAGCUUAUUGUUGGGAACCUACGGCUUCGUAGUUCCUCAAAGACAUUGGCGGAGUGGCAGUGGUCCUCUGAGCGUAGUAAUCUUUUAUCUCGCUUCUGUUAGGUGCUGCCCCCCCGGCCGUAAAACCCCCAAUUUUUUCUGGUUGACCUCGGAUCAGGUAGGAAUACCCGCUGAACUU
rnacentral:rRNA from 1 species